rnacentral:lncRNA from 1 species
GAGGGCUACAGAGAAGUGUUGAUGGUUAGAAAGGAGGUGCCAACCGUGUGUUUGUAUUGGGGGAGGGGGUGGAAGUAUAAUUUGGAGGGUGGAUGGAUGGAUGGAGGGAGGGAGGGAGGGAUGUUAGUAUUGCUUAUACCGAUUUCUUGUCUCAACUAUGUCAAUAUUUGCUAUCCAACAUGACCACUUGAUGUAGACAAGAAACUGCCUUUCUGGAACUGGAUGAAGAAGGUAAUACAUGGGAUUGAGAAAACCUAGGUGUUUCAUUAAAAUAUACUGCAUUUGUAUAUAUAUACAGGGGUUUAGGUCUAUUCUACUCUACCUAAUAUAUAUAUAUAUACACACCUAUAAUAUACAUAUACCUAUAAUAUAUAUAUACACACACACACACACACAUAUA